rnacentral:rRNA from 14 species
ACCGAUACCCAACCGUCAGUGUUUAGCGAAGCGCUGACGAGUAGGCAGGCGUGGGGGUCCGUAUGGAAGCCUUGGCUGUGAAGCUGGGUGGAACGGCCUCUAGUGCAGAUCUUGGUGGCAGUAGCAAAUAUUCAAGUGAGAACCUUGAAGACUGAAGUGAGGAAAGGUUCCACGAUUACAGCAAUUGAACGUGGGUUAGCCGAUCCUAAGAGAUAGGGAAGUUCC